ACAUAUUUCUUAACUUGUGUUUUCGUGAUUUCCGGAAAUCUUUGUGUCCGUGUUACCAGGAUCACAAUUCUUGUCAUUGUCUUCGUUUCGAAGAGUUCUAGAGAUUCAAAUCAUCGUUGGUCCUCAUUUUGGAAUGAUGAAUGAGCCUAUGGAUGUUACAGACCAAGAAGUAGCAGCUAUUGUGAAUGGGCUGUAUAGGUUCAGGUCACAAAGCCGACCUGAAAUUGGGAGCUUUUACUCCCAGUCCCGUGAGAUAUUGGUAUUCCAACAGAGAUGAGCCCUGUCAUUCAAGCCAUCUAAUUAAGAAGAGAUACCUCUACAUAAUAUUGUCUUUAAUAUAGAAAUGAUAAAUUUAUGACACAUCUUGGUUGCAUUAUUAGCUUGUCAUACAUGGAUAUCCAUACUUCAGAACAACCACACGAUAUAUCCUGUGUUUUAGAUGGUGAAAAUGGAUGUGGGUUGUGAAAGAAAUUGAGCUCUAUCAUGAAGAUGGACUUUAUCAUAACUUCUGUCAAAAGUUAUAUACUGCCCUCUGUUGUCAAAAGCAGGGAAUAUUGUUGAAUAGAAGUAGCAAGGCAGGGAGACCUGUUUAUCCUGAACUACAUGUACACAGACAGAAACUAAUUUUGGGAACAAACAUAUAUAUUUACUGUCUGUGAUAAUUGUCUCAGCAACUCUGCAAUUUUUUUUAGAAAGAAAUAUUUUUAUGUAAUACUUAGCUGAAUGUAAAGGUCAUGUUCACCCCGACAGCAGGUUGAUUUGUGCUAAUGGACAAAAAUGAAACCAGCAUAACACUGAAAUGUCAUUGAAAUCUGAAGUAAUGAUUAGAAGAUUUGGUUUGAAUUUUUGCUUUGUUCUAUUUUAACAUCUACAUGUAAUUGUAGUCCAUAUGACAAAGUUGAUUUGAAUGAAUAGAGAAAAGUCAAGCAGGCAAAACACCACACAUUUCAUUGAAAUUUUAUGUGGUGUAAAAUUAGAAGAUUAUACCUUUUCCCCCGCUUAUUUUCACAAUAAUAGUAGCUCUUUAUAAUCAAAAGCAUAAUGAUGAUGAUUGUAAAUUCUAAAUUUCCCUUGAAGAAUCAAACCAAGUUCUACAUUAUUAGGGGGGGGGGGGGACACUCAUUCAUUGUUGGAGUGUGACAUCAUUGGCUCCUUUAUAAGCCAUGCUGUUUUUAUCACUAUUUUGUACAAAACAACCAAAACUUGAAAACACUACAUCAUACCCCCACCAAAUGAAGUUUAAUUGGGGUGUACAGGAAUCAGCAUACGGUUGGGCGGUCAGUUGGGCAGUCGGUGUGUUGCAAAUCUUGCACUUCAAACUAUUCCUCAGUUUUUAACCACUUGGCUCACACGUUGGUCUUGACGUAUGAUGUGCAAGGCACAUUGUUUGCAAGUGUGGAAAAUCCUGUUGCAAUGGUAACACCAUAUAUGGCGAGAAUUAGGUAAAAUUUUUGGUUCAAACUACUUCCUUGGUUUUUGACCAAUUUGCAUGAAAUUUGACACACACCUUGUCCUUGAGGCAAAGACGUGCUAGACAUAUUUUUUGUGUGUGGUGGGGAAAUGGUGUUUAUACCUUGGUAACAGUAUGGCAAAAAUUAGGUAAAAAUCUUGCAAAACAAUCUACUUCAUCAGUUUCUAUUUUUCAUCUUGAAAUUUGGCACACAUUGGUCUUGAAGUAAAGAUGUGGAUGGCACAUUUCGUUUGCAUUUGAGUAAUUGUGUUGCCAUGGUAACCACCUAGUAUGGUCAUAAACCAAGGCAAAACCCAUUGUGGUUCAAACUACAUGUACUUCCCCAGUUUUUGGCCAGUGCCCAUGAAAGUUGGCACUAACGUUGGUCUUUGGGUAAAAUCAUGCAAUUUCCAUAUUCCCAAUGUGGAAAUUGUGUCGCCAUGGGAACAGCUAUUGCCCAAAACAAAGGAAAAUCAUUGCUGGUCAAACUGUUUGCUGAGAUUUUUAUCAUUGCUCAUGAAACUUCAUCUUGGGGUAAAGGCAUGCCAAAUAGAUUUUUCCAAAUGUGUUAGAAACUGCAUUGCCAUGGUAAUGACAUGUAGGCGGUGGUAUUAAUCACCUUCAGGAUGUUACCAGUUUCAGGAUAAGAAGAUACUAGCUGGGAGAUGAUGGCUUGCGAUGUACGCACCUCAGGACCUUGCCCCAUAAGCUGUAGGUGAACAGCCAUGCCCAGUCUUAUAUUAUAGAUUACAUACUUUAAGUAGGUGCUGGCUGGGUGAUGGUGGCCUCUUUGCCUCUUUAAACUAGGGGACCUACCACGUCCAGUCAGAGUAAAUAGUAGAUAAGCUGGCUUAGAUUUAUAUACCGGGCUGGGCCAUUGUGAUCGAUGAAUUAUGUGCGUAACAGACCUUACGACUAGGCCCAGUCAGAUAAUUUUAUUAUUCUUUAAAAAAAAAUUGUAGUUUACAUAAUAAACAGAUUCUGGCUUGGAAGUGGUGGCAUGUGGCAGGGCUCCACACUAACCUUCUUUUUUUCUACUGGUCCGAACCUAAAAUUUCCUGGUCCCCAAAUUUGCUUUUAUCCCCCCCAAAACAUGCUCCUAAAACUGUAGCUGAACGGCCACACCCAGUCAGAUUUUUUGAUUAAUUUUGCUUUAAACAGCAGUUUGUAUAGUUGAUUCUGGCUGGGAGAUGGUGGCCUGUGAAUUAUGUGCCUACCGGACCUUUCUUGAAACUGUAGGCGAACGGCCAUGCCCAGUCUUUUUUUAAACAGUAGUUCAGAUAGUUUUAGCAGAUUUUUGGUGGGAGAUGGUGGCCUGUGAAUUAUGUGCCUACUGGGCCUUGUCCCUUUUAAGGACGUUCCACAGUUAAAAUGAAGUCCAUGUCAUUUUCACCAAAUUUUGCAGAGAGUUACUGUGGUAUCUAUGCAUUAUGAAAAUGCAAAAAAUAAUAUUUCAUGUGCUUAUUUUUUUUCUACGGGUCUUCAAAGUCGCCGUAUUUGAAUGAUAUGCAAUCUUGCGCAAUCAAGAGAAUUAUGCCUCUCUUAGACCUCACGAAUUCACCAAAUGAGUUUAAAUCAUCUUUACUCAGUGGAUACCGCAUGAAACUUCAUCAAAUUUUCAAGAUAUAAAACAAAGUGUAUACUAAACUAAGAGAAAGUCUUUUAAUUGGUAAAACUAUAUCUAGUUGGAGUUAGCAGCGCCCUAAUUUGGCAAGAAUGAUGCAAAAACUCGGAAAAAACAAAUCUUCAAAGACGUGAAUCUACUCAAAAAUUAAAGUAUUUUGUAAGCUGCACUUUUUUCAAAAUCCAUGUCAUUUUCAUCAAAUUCGGCUAAAUUGUAGAGGAAUGCAUAUCAAAGGUAUAGGGAAGUUAAAAAUAUGGGGUCCAUGUGCUCGUUUUUCAACUAUGAGUGUCCAAAGUGAUGCGAGUUGACAUGAAAAUUGCAAAAAAUGCGCCCAAAACGUGCAAAAGUCUAAUAAUGCCGUCUAAAAUACGAAUGGUUCCGUAGUUUUGCCCCCAAACAUUAAAAAUCCAUGUCAUUUUCAUCAUACUCUCCAGAUUUGUAGAAAAAUAUAUUCUGAAGACUUUAAAAUAUUAAAAAUAUGGGGUCCAUGUGCUCGUUUUUAAACUACUGGUGUCCCAAGCGUAACAAGUUGGCUUGAAAAUUGCCUAAAAAGCGCCGAAAACAUGCAAAAGUCUCUUAAUACCUUCUAAAAUGCAAAUGGUUCCAUAUUUCGCUCCCAAACAUUCAAAAUCCAUGUCAUUUUCAUCAUACUCUCUAUAUUUGUAGAGGAAUAUAUUCAAAAGGCAUUAAAAUAUCAAAAAUAUGGGGUCCAUGUGCUCGUUUUCAAACUAUCAGAGUCCAAAGUGUUGCGAGUUGGCUUGAAAAUAUUGAAAUCCACUUAAAUGCUCCGAAAACGUGCACAAGUCUAAUAAUACCGUCUAAAAUGCGAAUGGUUCCGUAGUGUUGCUCCCUAACAUUCAAAAUCCAUGUCAAUUUUAUCAUACUCUCUAGAUUUGUAGUGGAAUAUAUUCUAAAGGCAUUAAAAUAUUAUAAAUAUGGGGUUCAUGUGCUUGUUUUUUAAUCAGUGUCCAAAGUGUUGCGAGUUGGCUUGAAAAUAUUGAAAUCCACCUAAAAAGUGCGCCGAAACAAGCAAAAAGUAUAAUACUGUCUUAAAUGCAAAUGGUUUCAUAUUUCGCUCCCAAACAUUCAAAAUCCAUGUCAUUUUCAUCAUACUCUGUAGAUUUGCAGAGAAAAAUAUUCUGAUGACGUUAAAAUGUUAAAUAUAUGGGGUCCAUGUGCUCAUUUUUUAACUAUCAGUGUCCAAAAUAAUGCAAAGUGGCUUGAAACAAUCUAUAAUAUGCCUAAAAUGUCUAAAAUACGAAUGGUUCCGUAGUUCUGCUCCCAAACAUUCAAAAUCCAUGUCAUUUUCAUCAUACUCUCUAGAUUUGUAGAGGGUUUUAUUUUAAAGACGUUGAAAUAUUAAAAACAUGGGGUCCAUGUGCUCGUUUUUAAACUAUUAGUGUCUAAACGGUUGCGAGUUGGCUAGAAACAGCCCAAAUGCGUCGAAAACAAGCAAAAGUCUCAUAAUACUGUCCGAAAUGUCUAAAAUACGAAUGAUUCAUUAGUGCUGCUCCCAAACACUCAAAAUCCAUGUCAUUUACAUCAUACUCUCUAGAUUUGCAAAAGAAUAUAUUCUGAUGACGUUAAAAUAUUAAAAACAUUGGGUCCAUGUGCUCGUUUUUAAACUAUCAGUGUCUAAACUGUUGCGAGUUGGCUUGAAACAGCCCAAAAAUGCGCCGAAAACAAAAGUCUGAUAAUACCGUCCAAACUGUCUAAAAUACAAAUGGUUCCGUAGUUCUGCUCCCAAACAUUCAAAAUCCAUGUCAUUUUCAUCAUACUCUCUAGAUUAGUAGAGGAAUAUAUUCUGAAGAAGUUAAGACAUUUAAACUAUGGGGUCCAUGUGCUCGUUUUUAAACUAUUAGUGUCUAAACAGUUGCGAGUUGGCUUGAAACAGCCCAAAUGCGCCGAAAACAAGCAAAAGUCUCAUAAUACUGUCCGAAAUGUCUAAAAUACUGUACGAAUGAUUCAUUAGUGCUGCUCCCAAACACUCAAAAUCCAUGUCAUUUACAUCAUACUCUCUAGAUUUGCAGAAGAAUAUAUUCUGAUGACGUUAAAAUAUUAAAAACAUGGGGUCCAUGUGCUCGUUUUUAAACUAUCAGUGUCUAAACUGUUGCGAGUUGGCUUGAAACAGCCCAAAAAUGCGUCGAAAACAAAUGUCUGAUAAUACCGUCCAAACUGUCUAAAAUACAAAUGGUUCCGUAGUUCUGCUCCCAAACAUUCAAAAUCCGUGUCAUUUUCAUCAUACUCUCUAGAUUAGUAGAGGAAUAUAUUCUGAAGAAGUUAAGACAUUUAAACUAUGGGGUCCAUGUGCUCGUUUUUUAACUAUUAGUGUCUAAACGGUUGCGAGUUGGCUUAGAACAGCCCAAAAUGCGCCGAAAACAAGUAAAAGUCUUAUAAUACCGUCCAAAAUGUCUAAAAUACAAAUGGUUCCGUAGUUCUGCUCCCAAACAUUCAAAAUCCAUGUCAUUUUCAUAAUACUCUCUAGAUUUGUAGAGAAAUAUAUUCUGAAGAAGUUAAGACAUUUAAACUAUGGGGUCCAUGUGCUCGUUUUCAAAUUAUCAGUGUCCAAAGUAUUGCGAGUUGGCUUAAAACAGCCCAAAAUGCGCCGAAACAAGCAAAAGUCUGUUAAUACCGUCUAAAAUGCGAAUGGUUCCGUAGUCUUGCUCCCAAACAUUGAAAAUCCAUGUAAUUUUCAUCAUACUUUGCACAUAGAAACUUUAGCCACUGAAUAUUCCAAACAUGCAAAAAUUAACAUGGGUACAUGGGCUUGAUUUUUUGCUAUAGAGCUUCAAAGUUACCCAAAAUGGAUGAUGUUCUUAAGAACUGCGCAUCCAAAAAAAUUUGGCAUUUUUAGACCUCACGAGAUCACAACAAUGAGUUUAAAGCCCUAUUACUCAGUCAAAAUCCAUGAAAAUUUAAUCAAAUUUUGCAAUAUGAUUAAUAAUUGUAUCCGUAAGAUGGAUAAUCUAUUGAUAUUGCUGUCAAUUGUUUGCUCAUUUAAGUCUAACAACACUCACAGUUCUUAGAAAUUGCGGGAAAGAUACUCAACCUUAAACAAUUUUAAAUUUCAAUAACAAACUUGAGAAGAAAAAGAAAUGCUGCACUUUAUUCAAAACCCAUGUCAUUUUCACCAAACUUUGCAAAGUUGUAGAGGAAGGUAUACCUAAGAGGGGCAAACAUUAAAAAAUAUGGGUUCAUGUGCUUGUUUUAAACUAUGAGCACUCUUAUUAGAGAAAAUUUGCUUCUUAAAACACCCGAAAACGCGCCAAAAGCAGUAUCUAUGUGAGGGAAAAUUCCGAACCACUUUUCCAUUUAUUCAAAACUCGGGGUCAUAUUCAUCAUACUUUGCAGCACUACAGAGAAACUAUUUUGAAAUUGUAGAGGAAUAAAAAAAAAUGGUCCAUGGAAUAAUUCCAGUUUAUUAGCUUCAUAAAAUAACACAUCAGAUCUGCAGUUAGUGCAUGCAGAUAAGAAAAAAAAUCAGCUCACAAUACCUACAGCUGAUUAAAUCGCCAGUUCAUCCAUUGUGACGUCAGCGCGCAGAGUGUAAACUAUGCGCAGAUCAUGAUGCGCACAAACAUAAUUGUGGAACGUCCUUAAACUGUAGGUGAACAGCCACGCCGCCUUUUUUAAAAUGGUAGUUUAGAUAAAAUAGUAGUUUCUGGCUGGGAGAUGGUGGCCUGUGAAUUAUGUGCCUACUGGGCCUUGCCCCUUAAACUGUAGGUGAACGGCCACGCGCGCCUGUUUUAAAUGGUAGUUUAAAUAAAAUAGUAGAUUCUGGCUGGGAGAUGGUGGCCUGUGAAUUAUGUGCCUACUGGGCCUUGCCCCUUAAAUUGUAGGUGAACGGCCAUGCCCGCCUUUUUUAAACAGUAGUUUAGAUAAAAUAGUAGUUUCUGGCUGGGAGAUGGUGGCCUGUGAAUUAUGUGCCUACUGGGCCUUGCCCCUUAAACUGUAGGUGAACAGCCACGCCCGCCUUUUUUAAAUGGUAGUUUAGAUAAAAUAGUAGUUUCUGGCUGGGAGAUGGUGGCCUGUGAAUUAUGUGCCUACUGGGCCUUGCCCCUUAAACUGUAGGUGAAUGGCUACGCCCACCUUUUUUAAAUGGUAGUUUAAAUAAAAAAGUAGAUUCUGGCAGGGAGAUGGUGGCCUGUGAAUUAUGUGCCUACUGGGCCUUGCCCCUUAAAUUGUAGGUGAACGGCCAUGCCCGCCUUUUUUAAACAGUAGUUUAGAUAAAAUAGUAGAUCCUGGCUGGGAGUUGGUGGCCUGUGAAUUAUGUGCCUACUGGGCCUUGCCCCUUAAACUGUACGUGAACGGCCAUGCCUGCCUUUUUUAAACAGUAGUUUAGAUAAAAUAGUAGAUCCUGGCUGGGAGUUGGUGGCCUGUGAAUUAUGUGCCUACUGGGCCUUGCCCCUUAAACUGUAGGUGAAUGGCCACACCCAGUCAUAUUUCUUGUAAUUUCUUUUUCAACAGAACUUUACAUUGUUGAUUUUCGCUGGGAGAUGGUGGCCUGUGAAUUAUGUGCCUACUGGGCCUUGCCCGUUUAAAGUUUAGCUGAAUGGCCAGCCCCAGUUUUUUGUUAAACAGUAGUUUCGAUAUACAUAUUUAGUAGAUGCUGGCUGGAAGAUGGUGGCCUGCGAUUUAUGUGCCUACUGGGUCUUGCCCCUUUAACUGUAGGUGAACGACCAUGCCCAUUCAAUUUUUUUAAUCAAUUUUUGAAGAGAAGUUUACAAAGUUCAUUCUGGCUGGGAGAUGGUGGCCUGUGAAUUAUGUGCCUACUGGGCCUUGCCCCUUAAACUGUAGGUGAACGGCCAUGUCCGCCUUUUUUAAAUGGUAGUUUAGAUUAAAAAGUAGAUUCUGGCUGGGAGAUGGUGGCCUGUGAAUUAUGUGCCUACUGGGCCUUGCCCCUUAAACUGUAGGUGAACGACCAUGCCCGCCUUUUUUAAAUGGUAGUUUAGAUAAAAAAGUAGAUUCUGGCUGGGAGAUGGUGGCCUGUGAAUUAUGUGCCUACUGGGCCUUGCCCCUUAAACUGUAAGUGAACGGCCACGCCCACCUUUUUUAAAUGGUAGUUUAGAUAAAAGAGUAGAUUCUGGCUGGGAGAUGGUGGCCUGUGAAUUAUGUGCCUACUAGGUCUUGCCCCUUUAACUGUAGGUGAACGACCAUGCCCAUUCAAUUUUUUUAAUCAAUUUUUGAAGAGAAGUUUACAAAGUUCAUUCUGGCUGGGAGAUGGUGGCCUGUGAAUUAUGUGCCUACUGGGCCUUGCCCCUUAAACUGUAGGUGAGUGGUCAUGCCCGCCUUUUUUAAAUGGUAGUUUAGAUAAAAAAGUAGAUUCUUGCUGGGAGAUGGUGGCCUGUGAAUUAAUUGCGUACUGGGCCUUGCUCCUUAAACUGUACGUGAACGGCCACGCCAGCCUUUUUUAAAUGGUAGUUUAGAUAAAAAAGUAGAUUCUGGCUGGGAGAUGGUGGCCUGUGAAUUAUGUGCCUACUGGGCCUUGCUCCUUAAAUUGUAGGUGAACGGCCACACCCAGUCUGAUAAAAUAUUUUUAUAAAGUUUAGUCUUAGUUUACAUAGUUAAGUUGAUUUCGCUAGGAAACGGUGGCCUGUGAAUUAUGUGCCUACCGGGCCUUGCCCCUUAAACUGUAGGUAAACGGCCACGCCCAGUCUGAUAAAAUAUUUUUAUAAAGUUUAGUCUUAGUUUACAUAGUUAAGUUGAUUUCGCUAGGAAACGGUGGCCUGUGAAUUAUGUGCCUACCGGGCCUUGCCCCUUAAACUGUAGGUGAAACGGCCACGCCCAGUCAUAUUUUUGUGUAUUUUCAAACAGUAAUUUACAUAGUUUUAUUAUAUUCCGGCUGGGAAAUGGUAGCCUGUGAAUUAUGCGCCUACCGGCCUUCCCCCUUGGACUGUAGGUGGAUGGCCCUGUCUAGUCAGAUUAGGAGAUAAUGUAGCUUAGAUCUCUGUUACACCGGAUUUUCUAAGUAGUCUCGGGGUACCCCGAGACCAGUGUCGGGCAGGUUUCUAAUCCCUUCUGAGCAAACCUAUCUCGGACCACCUCGCGAUGUGUUCCGAGACUGCUUUGGAUUCGGAGUAAACGCAAACCUGCCCGAGACAGGUUCGCUUGAUGUGCUACAUGUGGAACGAUUAUCCAAACAACAAUCACAGCGUUAUGAUUUCGGUGUAAUAGGGGGUCAAAAAUUUAAGUCAACUUUUUGGAAACCAGUCUCGGGUAGGAAACCCAGUGUAACAGGGGUCUUAGAUUACCAUCGUAAGUACCUGGCUGGAAGAUUGUGACCUAUGAAUUAUGUACCCACAGGGCCUUGCCCCUUAAUCUGUAGGUGAACAGCCAUGCCCAGUCAGAUUUAUACCCCUGCCAAAAGAAGUUUGAAUGGGUUAUAGGAAUCAUCGUUUAGGCGUUCGGUUGGGCUGUUGGUCCAUUGCAAAUCUUGUGUGGUUCUAACUAAGUCCUCAUUUUUUUACGCAAUUCUCAUUAAAUUUUGACACACAUUCAUCGGGGUUAACAUGUGCAAGACACAUUUUUUUAACGUGUCAGAAAUUGUGUUGCCAUAGUAGCAAUAUAUUAUGACCAAAAUUAGGUAAAAAGAUUUUGUGGUACGAACUUCAUCAGUUUCUUGCCAACUCUUAUCAAAUUUGGCACAGACAUUGAUCUUGAGGCAAAGAUGUGCAACGCGUUUUUUUUGUCAGAAAUGUUGUUGCCAUGGUAAUAAUUUGGUCAAAGACUCAGGAAAACUCAUUGUGGUCAAACUACCUCCCUGGUCUUUUUGCCUUUGCUCAUGAAAGUCUGCACCAAUAUUGGUCCUCAGGUAAAAACAUGGGAUUUUAGUUUUCCAAAUGUGUUUGAUAUUGUGUUGCCAUUGGAGCGGCAUAUUUUUGCCAAAAACCCAUGAAAACUGGUUGAAUUACUUUCCUAGUUUUGUAUCAUUGUUCAUUAAAUUUAGCCCAAACAUUCACCCAGUGGUCAAUACAUGCAAGAUGCAUUUUCUAAAUGUGUUGGAAAGUGUGUCGCAAUAGUAAUGACAUUGGGGGGGGUGGGGUAUUCCUCACCUGUAGCGAUAUUUCUAGAUAGUUUAAUUUUACAUCAAUUUUUUUUCAUUUUCAAGGAAACUUUGUUGGAUUCUUCUCUAUUCAAAUCAAAGUUUAUGGAUCUAUUCAUGAAAUGUGGACUUAAUGUUAAUAAUCAAGUACUAUUUGGAAUGAGUUGUAGGCCACAUGAUCAAGGUCAAAAGUUAUUUAGGGUCAAUGAACUUUCCCCUUAUGGUGUUUUUGAAAUAUCAUAACUUUGAAAGUAAAUGGAACUAUUGCAUGAAACUAGGACUGACUGACUGCACUGACUGUUUUGCAUGAGUUUCAGGUGACCACUUGAUCAGGGUCAAUGAACUUCGUAUUUCAUUGCGAAAUGAAUGAUUUCUUUUUUGUGAAAACUUUUUCAUCUCAUCUCAUUCAUCUCAAUGCCAGCACUGCUGUUAUAUUGAAUUGUGUAAUGCAAGCUUGUCUACUUGUUUGUGGGGAUGAACUUGACCUUUAUACUGUUUUUUUUUUUUUUGGGGGGGGGGGGGGGUGUAGGCCUACAUGUAGGGACUAGGAUAUAUACGUUGAUCAUUUUACUUUGAUGUCUAAAACAUGUUAUCGUGGGGUAAAAAACUCUCCAAUCACAUUUUUUGUCCCUGCAUACAUGUACAUGUAAAUGAAGCUGUAUUGUUUGGAAUUGAACAAAAAUUGAAGACUUAUUGCUCAUAGAGCAUCAUACUAAGAUCCAUGCAAUGACAUUCCGUUAUGUUAUGUUAAACAUUUUAUUCUAAUUCUAGCACUUUGUGAUAAUGGGAAUAUGUCAUGAAAAUGAUAUCUACAUGUAGAAAUAUAGGGUCCUACAUGAAGGGAAUCACAUGUACGGUACUUUCAGCUACUGCAAGACUGUAGAACGAUCUUGUUGCUUGCUUGUUUUGUCUAUUUUUGGAAGUGCACUAUUUUAAUCUCUGCACUGAUUAAUUUGAUUAAUAAUUAAUAUUUGAAGUGUGUUAUUUUUUAUCAAACUAAUCAAUAUGCAGUGUGCGUUUGAAGAAGGGAAAGAAUUGGGAAUAAGAAGAAUGGCCAAGGUCCAAGAGAGAAAAUAAUUGGAGGGAUGAGGUCUGGGUAAAAGAGAGGAGGGAAGAUGGAAGUGGAGGAGGAGAAGAU